CUUAAAUAUGUCUACCCCACAUAAUGAUAGGGGAGUUAUCUACUAAACAGAUGAAAUAUCAAAAUUAUUAGGUGCCAUUAGCCAGCUCAAAAGAAGGUAGUAAUGUGAAUUCUGUGAAAUUGUGGUGUAUGAUGCCUCCCACUGGAAAUUAUUAGUGUCACCCCUCCCCCUUUUUGACUGUAUUUUUGACAUUUUUGACUGUGGUAUCUUAUGUGCCCCCCAAC